GCGUAGUGAAAAAAAAAAUAAAGUGCUAGAAUUUUAAUUAAUUUAAUUGGUUUUAAUAAGUAAAAUUUACUAAAAAAUAACUAAUAAAAGUGUAAACACAAUAAAGAAAACGAAAAUACAUAAAAAUUUUAAAAACCAAAAAUGUUUUCAUGAAUUUGGCAAAAUUAUAAACAGCAGAUGUUGAACUUUUGUGAUUUAUUGUGUUGUUGUGUGCUUCCCAUGUGUUUGCCAGAGGGUUGAAGCGCAGAAGGUUGUAAUAUAAAAAUAAUCAAAUAUAAAUUAUAUUAAAAUGUUUAUUAUUAAAAAAAACUUUUUGGUGUUGGUAACUAAAUAAAAAUUUAACUAAAACUUUAAACAAAAAAACUAAAUUGAAUGGUAGUUGGCUACAAAUUAAGGCUUAAGACCCUUAAAUAUAAACAUAAACUAAAAAAAAAGAACUAAAGGUGAAGGUGACUUCUUAAACAAUAAAGAAACAUUAUUAAUAACAACAAAUAUGGUACGUAGUCGACGCUCUAUAUCUAAAGAAGAUGCCUCCUCGGUGUUGGACGAUAGUGGCAUUUCAUUAUCAUCACCCCCCGCCAAUCGUAAACACUUUCCUAAUCUCAAUGAACAUGAAGAAGAAGCUAUAUUGGGUAAAUUGUGUCUUACCGAUGAAGAAACAGAUCCUGAAAUUAUAGAAGACAAUACAAUAGAUAAUGUUACAAUCAGCGAUAAUGACGAUGACAGCAAUAAUGAUGAAGAACAAUCUGAAGACUCUGAAAAAUGUAAGGUUUAUGCCACUGCAGAGCCUGGUGCUAAAAGGGCACGUAAAACUUACAUUUGUGAUAUUUGUCAUAAAGAGUUUCGUGGCAAAUCGGAUUUAACACGACACAAGUUUGUGCAUACAAAUGAAAAGCCCUUUAAAUGUCAAACUUGUAAUAACAGCUAUCGACAAGAGAUUAAUUUAAAAAAUCAUAUUAUAUCCGCACAUACAAAAGAGAAAAAAUUUGCCUGCAAACAGUGUCCGAAAAGUUUUGCCCUUAAGGAGAGAUUACGACUGCAUAUGCGUUUGCAUACGGGAGAGAAACCUUAUGGCUGCCAACAAUGUGAUAAACGUUUUGCCAGGGGUGGACAGUUACACCAACACAUGGUUACCCAUCAUAAUGAUGCUCCUAAACAAUUUAAAUGUGAAAUAUGUUCAGAACGCUUCUCAACACCCUCCAACUUAAAGGCUCAUGUACAAGGUCAUGACGAAACGCCCGAUUGUUAUUGUGAAAUAUGUAACGAACAUUUUGCCAAUGAUGUGCUGCUAAAGACUCAUAUCCAUAAAUUACAUUACAAACUUAAGCAACAGGAUUGUGAUAUUUGUAAAAAACCCAUCGAAGAAAAUGAUUUGUUAAGUCAUAUGAAAACUCAUAACAAUGCCAAGACUUAUGUAUGUGAAAUUUGCAAUAGUGUUUUUACCCAAAAGUCGCAAUAUAAUGUACACAUGCGUAUGCAUACGGGUGAAAGGCCUUUUCAAUGCAGGAUUUGCUGUCAAACCUUUGCCCAUUCCAGUGUUUUAAAACUACACAUACGCAAGCAUACAGGCGAGAAACCCUUUAAUUGUUUGCUGUGCAAAGAUGAUGAACUGGCCUUUUCCCAGUUGGCACACUUGAAGACACAUAUGAAGAAAAUACACAAACAAUUAAAACCUUAUAUGUGUGAGGGUUGUCAUAGCUUUUUCAAAAUAAAAAUUGAAUUAGAAACCCACCAGCAUAAAUGUAGAAAGUUUACUGUCAGCGUAGAAGAGCAGGAAGCGAAAUUAAAUGAAACUCAAACUUUAUCACACAUACGUUUUCUAAUGGCCAUUUUACUAAAGAAAAUCUCCUCAGAUCAAAAACUACAGCAAUUGGGUUUUGAAAAACGUUUAAUAGACAAUGUCGUUAUAGCAGCCUUAAAAUUGGCCAAUCGUAAGGCCCAUGAUGACACGAAAUUGUCUUCUUUGGAGAGGAUGCGUUUAAAUGUAGAGGAAUUUCUUAAUUGGAUUGUUCCUAGCAAUGUUAUGGAAAAGUUUCGUGAAGAAAAUCAAUCUACAGAAAAUAUUUUGGAAAAAAUCGUUUCCAUGUACAUGAAACAAAAGUGAACUAUUCAUAUUACACAUCUCAUUUCAUUUAGAGUAUAUAUUUUUUAUACUUGUCUACAACUAUAUAACACUAAACUCAUCAAUCAAAUUCAUUUUUUCAAGUGCCAUACAACUCAAGAUACCCUCAAUAAAGGUUUGUGUUUAAGAAAUCCAUUUUUAUGUUAUAAAACAAGCAAGAAUCCAAAAACAGUAACAUAAAUCACUAAGCUGGUUAUUAAGAAAAAAUACUUCAAGAGGUUUUAAGCUCAAAAAAAAAGGGGUAUCAAGUUAAAUUGCUAACAGUUGUAUGCUGUGUUGGUAGUUUGGUUGCUUUGGUUAAGGCUUUGUGCGCAAUCAACAAAAUUGUAUGUUGUCAAGUGUCGUGUUUAUCAUUCUAGAGCUAGAGUUUAGUUGGCUACUGCAAAUAGUACCAACUUACAACAUCAACAGCAACAGAAACAAGACAAUGUCACAAAAGUCAACACAAACAACAAGAAUACAAAAAAUCGAGACAACAACAGCAGCAAAAAUACAAACAACAGUAGCUGCUAACAUUAGCUGCAAUACAGCAACAUCAACAGCAGCAGCAUGAAAACAAACAACAUUAGCGGCAUAGCAACUUGUAAUAUGGGAUGUUUAUGCUUCCAAGAUACAAAAAGGUGAUAAUUAUUAUAUAAAGUAAGAUGAACUUAGAGGAUAUGCAAAAAUGAAUGUAUUACUUGGAAAAUAUUGCAUGUAAAUGAAUAGAAAAAUAAGAACAUCAUCAUGGCAAAAAGGAGAAGAAGGAGAAGAUAUUAAAAAAAUAAUUUUUUUGUUUAUCAUCGAAAAAUCGUAUAAAUCGGAGUUAUAAAGGUGCAAAUCGGUCGGUAUUUUAAAUUCAUAUUAAUCGGUCGGUAUUUUAAAUACGUAAGUUCUAACGUGCGUGUUUUCAAUCGGUUUUAAUCAAUUUGCAAAUCAAAAAAUAUAUAGCAAAAAUUCGUGUCGAUUCGUUAGUGUUUGUUACAUAUUUGACUGAUAGUUUUUCGAGUUCGUCGCGUGAAAAACUAGCUUGACAUUUCAUUUAAUCUGCAGUAUCUUAAAUUUAGAACACUGCACUACCUAUGCUAUAGAAUUAGCAGAGACAACAGUCAAUUACACCAUUGCCCCAUGAACUUAGCAAUCCAAUUGGUAUUAGCUUCACCAUUAACUUGUAUAGUACUAACUGGCAAAUCGCGCUGAGUAAAAUAAUAAUAGAAAAAAGUGUUUACAAAAAAAAUUGUUUUGGUGGUUCGUAUCAUUUAUUUUAAUUUAAAUUUUUAAAAAUAAUAAAAUUUUGCUAAUUACUUCGGCGGUUCGUGUCGGUAAUUUUUAUAAAAAAUAAUCGUUUAUAUCGUCCGUUUUAACAAAAUGUUAUUAGUUUUUCGAGUUGUUUAAAAAAUAAUGCAUGAAGUGAAAUCGUGUACAUCGUUUAAUCGAUAUUUUAAUGGAGAUGAUAUCUUUUGUUAACUGUUGAAUCGUAAAUUAUCAAUACCACAUUAUUGGACAGCAGUUGCGCUAGCAGAGACAUCAAUCAACUACUGCAUUAUCUACCAGCUACUCUUGCACAUAAACCUGUGCUGUUUUAAAUUGAAGUUCAAACGCGCGCAGUUCGGUUUAUUUAAUAGUUGAGAAAAUUUACGAAAAAAAAAAUCGUGUGUGAGUUGUAAAAUAAAAAAGAAAUAGUAAAAUGUUUGGCGAUUCGCGUCGAUAAUUGUUGUAAGUAGAAAUAUGUUUUCCUUAAAAAGCAAUUUGUUUUCUCGUUUCGUGUCGGUUAUUAAAAAAAGUUAUUUUAACGGUACGCGUCGGUAAAAAAUCUUAGUUCAUAUCGUUCGUUUUAAUAAAAAAAAGUUAUUAUUCCGAGUGGUUUAAAAAAUAAAAUGAAAUAAAGUGAAAUCGUGUAUCGAUAUUUAAAUAGAGAUGGUAUAUCUUGUCAAGUGUUGUAUCAUAAAUUAUAAACGCAGUAUUAUCGGCCAUCACCUAAAACUAGCAGAGACAACAAUCAAACACUGCAUGAGCUUCAUCUUAAACCUGUGUUGGAACUCUGGCUAUAAACGGGUUUAAUGAUACUUACCGUGCUCGCAGCAAACGAGAAACGGCUUUAUUAGCAUACGAUGCAGAUGUUGCUCAAAAGGAAAUUUUACGUGAAUUUGGUCCUAGAGCUUGCAUCUUAGAGGAACCUUGUCGCAUACAUGCCUCAC